AUGUAUAUAUGUAUAUGUAGGAAGGUUUUUAGAGUUCAGCAUCUAAUGGUAAAUGCAAAUUCCUCUUUGCCUUUUUACAUGAUUGCCUGGGAACCAUGGGGCUAUGAUUAUAUCCAAAAAGUGACAGUUUCUUUUUUUUUCUUCAUCCAGGAAGGUUUAGAGGGAGAAACUAAAGUAUCCCAAGAUACAAAAGGUACUCUGGUGUACUUUCUGAAAAAUAUAAUAUCUUCCCAACUUUUGAUUGACAAGACUACUUGCACUGCUGGAAAACAUCUCUCCUGAAAUUGUAAUUUGCUGCCCUCAAUUUGGGAAGAAAAAUAGAAAGCAGAAAAGACAUUCAACAGGGAACAAGACUCAUCCUUAUCUUUUCUACUUGGGCCUCUGCCUUAGAUACCAGGUGCUGGCAGAUGGUCAAUACAAUAUCAUUAUAAUAAGUAAAAAGAUUCUUCCCUUAUGAGAAUACUAGCAAGGAAGAGCUUCUUACCACAUGAAAGGGCUGAAAGAAGAUUAAGAUGAAAGGAAAAGUAACUCCCUUUUUAAAGGUUUCCUGAGUGGGCAACACUUCUUGGCUCAGUAGUUAAUUUUCUUUAAUGAUUUAAUUCUUGUACCCUCCUGCUAUCAAAGUGUAUGCUAUCAAGAGAUAACCAAAUUUUCAUCAUGCUAUAAUGGCAAGGUCUUCAGAAGGGAGCACAUAUUUCCCUAGAAAUGACCAGAACAACUGAGAGCAUGUUCCAUGGGAUUAUUCCCAAUAUAUACAAAAAAUUUUCAAUUCCUAUUUCUUAGAGAAUACCUAUUUUAAUUUUCAUAGUUGUGAAAUAUUAAAUUGAGAAAUAUGUCAAAAUAUAUGGGAUUAGAUACUUAGGGGUUAAACCAAUUUCUAGUGGACAAAAGUGUUCAUGGGAAAUAAGAUGAGAAUAAGGAAUCAGGAGUAGAAAUAGUGCACUUUAAAAAAAUCCUUUUCAAGGGUAUGUGGAAAUAAUGGGUUUGAAAUAUUACAUAUUUUCAGAUAUGAAAGAAGCUGAUUAGUUUUAAUGAAUUUUAUUUAUUCAUUAAUAUUUGUCAUAAGAUGAAGUUUACUGGGUAUAAGAGGGGGAAGAUGUAUAUUCAGAAUUAAAUAUAAUAUAAAAUCAACAGACAUCUAUAAAACAGUUUCAAAAAAAAAAGAUGAAAAGUGAAGAAAUGGAAAGGGUUCCUGUGCCAAUGAAUAAUGUUGUAAAAGAGGAAUGAAGAUCAGUUUUAUACAAUUGACUAGAAUGUAUAGACAGAAGUGGCAUCUGAGCAGACAACAAAAGGCAUCAAAAAGGAAAGAGGGGGAAGGAAGCAAAACUAGAGCAGGAUGUAUCCCUGAGUAAUAGAUAUUUUCAGUGGGUCCUCUAGCAGAAUAUCCUUUUGUUUUCAUCAUAGAAUCAUGAAAUGAUAAAGACCUCAAAGGGACCAUAGAAUCUAGUCCAACUGACUCAUUUUAGCAAGGAAAACACUAAAACAAAGAAAGGAUAAUUGACUUGCUCAUGUUCACACACAUCAUAAGUAAUUAUGGGUGCUUGUCAUACUUCUGCUUCUUUUUUAUAAAUUUUCAUUUUUCCACAUUAUAUAUAAAUAAAAUUUUUACUACUCAUUUUCUGAUAUUUUGU
ensembl:lncRNA